rnacentral:lncRNA from 1 species
GUAACAAAAAGUUAUUUGGGUCGUUCUUUUAAAGUACGCCUAAUUUGUCGGGACGAUUUUUAAAGUGACGAAGCAUUAAUAAUUAUAGCAAUGCUGAUUUACUUUCAUUUAUUUGAUAAUUUAUAACCAUGGAUACUGAUCGAAUUGUGUAUAUAUUGUAUUUUAUCAUUCCAAAUAUAUUGUGUGACUGCAACUGGCCAGCUAAUCUACAGGACAGUAUUUGGCACGACAGCGACAAAGGACAACUAGAUUUUGAAACGAAGACAAUGUCAGGGCUUAAUUAUCUUUUUCAAAAUACAAUCACUGUUGAGAACUGGGACUGUUUUUUCUAUUACCAGAAUUCCGGCAUUUUGAUAAUGAAAUCGCAGGAGACAGUGACUGUUUUCAAUACUCUCUACAGACCAUUUCAAUGUUUAAAACUUACAGCAAUCACGGAUUACUCAUAUUAUUACUAUAUCCAAGCAGGUAAA